rnacentral:rRNA from 1 species
UACGUAGGGUGCAAGCGUUGUCCGGAAUUAUUGGGCGUAAAGAGCUCGUAGGCGGUCUGUCGCGUCGGAUGUGAAAACCCGGGGCUCAACCCUGGGCCUGCAUUCGAUACGGGCAGACUAGAGUUCGGUAGGGGAGACUGGAAUUCCUGGUGUAGCGGUGAAAUGCGCAGAUAUCAGGAGGAACACCGGUGGCGAAGGCGGGUCUCUGGGCCGAAACUGACGCUGAGGAGCGAAAGCGUGGGGAGCAAACAGG